UGACCAGGAAUGGGGGAGAGUCCUGCGUUGGCAUUACAGCACAGGAGAACAUUGCGGAUGACGUUAUGCUGAUGAGCAGCAUGUGUCCCGAUCAAGUGACCCAAAUCCAGCACAAACUGGGAAGUGAGCACUCCUUUCGGUGAGGGUAUAAGCUGUGUGACCAGGAAUGGGGGAGAGUCCUGCGUUGGCAUUACAGCACAGGAGAACAUUGCGGAUGACGUUAUGCUGAUGAGCAGCAUGUGUCCCGAUCAAGUGACCCAAAUCCAGCACAAACUGGGAAGUGAGCACUCCUUUCGGUGAGGGUAUAAGAAUGACCCCAUCAUUGCCAACGUGGGGAAAAUUCUAUGUGGGGCGGCAAAAGCUAUUGAUGACCUUCUUGGUAAGAAGCCCGGUGGUGGAGGACUUUUGGGGAAUUUAUUGUGAAGAAUAAUACAAGUUUAUAUUCACCGACUGUCAACAAUGAAAUUCGUCAACUUCUAAUGAAAUCAAUAAUUGCCAAGAAAUCUUUUUUUCAGUGUCAAGGAAAUUUACAUUUAUUAUCUCUCUGUAUUACAUUAUAAUCAAAAUCUGCAUUCACUCUUCUAU